rnacentral:rRNA from 1 species
UACGUAGGGUGCAAGCGUUGUCCGGAUUUAUUGGGUUUAAAGGGUGCGUAGGCGGCCAAUUAAGUCAGUGUUAAAAUUUCGCAGCUUAACUGUGGGUAUGGCAUUGAUACUGAUUGGCUUGAGUGUGCUCGAGGUACUUGGAAUUUAUGGUGUAGCGGUGAAAUGCAUAGAUACCAUAAGGAACGCCGAUAGCGAAGGCAAGGUACCAGGACACAACUGACGCUGAGGCACGAAAGUGUGGGGAUCAAACAGG